rnacentral:rRNA from 1 species
GUGGGGAAUCUUAGACAAUGGGGGAAACCCUGAUCUAGCCAUGCCGCGUGAGCGAUGAAGGCCUUAGGGUUGUAAAGCUCUUUCAGAGGGGAAGAUAAUGACGGUACCCUCAGAAGAAGCCCCGGCUAACUCCGUGCCAGCAGCCGCGGUAAUACGGAGGGGGCUAGCGUUGUUCGGAAUUACUGGGCGUAAAGCGCACGUAGGCGGACCAGAAAGUCAGGGGUGAAAUCCCGGGGCUCAACCCCGGAACUGCCUUUGAAACGCCUGGUCUGGAGGUCGAGAGAGGUGAGUGGAAUUCCGGGUGUAGAGGUGAAAUUCGUAGAUAUUCGGAGGAACACCAGUGGCGAAGGCGGCUCACUGGCUCGAUACUGACGCUGAGGUGCGAAAGCGUGGGGAGCAAACAGGAUUAGAAACCCGUGUAGUCC